AACAAUUGAUUUUUACAACUUUAUUGAAUUAAAUUUUUCUUAUCCCACGAAUCUCUUCGGUUCCUACCUGCAAUUUUACAACGGUUUCUUCCUCAUUUAGUUGCAUUAAUAAAUUCAACGCUAUGACCUUACGACUCCGUUUUUCAACUCAUUCCCUAUUUGAUAUAAAUAUAGAGUGAUGGCGGUGAAGUUCAAUCCCUAAUCAUAUUUGUUGGGUACUAGCUCCGUACGAAGUUGGUGGGUUCAACGAAAGCUUCACCCUUUCUGAAUAAAUGGCGACUCCUUUAGGCUCACUGCAGGAAAUUGGUU